rnacentral:rRNA from 1 species
AUACGUAGGGAGCGAGCGCUGUCCGGAAUUACUGGGUGUAAAGGGAGCGUAGGCGGGAUGGCAAGUCAGAUGUGAAAACUAUGGGCUCAACCCAUAGACUGCAUUUGAAACUGUUGUUCUUGAGUGAAGUAGAGGUAAGCGGAAUUCCUGGUGUAGCGGUGAAAUGCGUAGAUAUCAGGAGGAACAUCGGUGGCGAAGGCGGCUUACUGGGCUUUUACUGACGCUGAGGCUCGAAAGCGUGGGGAGCAAACAGGAUUAGAUACCCUGGUAGUCCACGCUGUAAACGAUGAUUACUAGGUGUGGGGGGACUGACCCCUUCCGUGCCGCAGUUAACACAAUAAGUAAUCCACCUGGGGAGUACGGCCGCAAGAUUGAAACUCAAAUGAAUUGGCGGGG